rnacentral:rRNA from 1 species
AUUGAACGCUGGCGGCAGGCCUAACACAUGCAAGUCGAACGAGGGGCGGACGGGUGAGUAAGGUCUGGGAAACUGCCUGAUGGAGGGGGAUAAAUACUGGAAAGGGUAGCUAAUACCGCAUACCAUCAGAUGUGCCCAGAUGGGAUUAGCGUGUUGGUGGGGGAACGGCUCACCAAGGCGACGAUCCCUAGCUGGUCUGAGAGGAUGACCAGCCACACUGGAACUGAGACACGGUCCAGACUCCGACGGGAGGCAGCGGUGGGGAAUAUUGCACAAUGGGCGCAAGCCUGAUGCAGCCAUGCCGCGUGUAUGAGUACGGCCUUCGGGUUGUAAAGUACUUUCAGCGGGGAGGCGUUACCCGCAGAAGAAGCACCGGCUAACUCCGUGCCAGCAGCCGCGGUAAUUC